rnacentral:lncRNA from 1 species
GAGUUUGAUCUUCUUCAAAAAAUUUGUGCUUAUUGUCAAUUUAAUUGUUAAGAAGUGUGCAAAAUUUGAGUUAAAAUCAAUAGUUCAUUCAUUAGUUAUUGAGGUUUAAAUCUAAUGUAGGAAUUAUUUGGAAUUAUUUAGGAUUUGGUUAGGGUUUGUUAAGGAUUCAAUUAGGAUUUGAUUAGGAUUUGUUUAGGAUUUGAUUAGAAUUUAUUUAGGAUUUGACUAGAAUUUGGUUAUGAUUUAUUUAAGAUUUAUUUAGAAUUGAUUAGAAUUUAUUUAGGAUUUGACUAGAAUUUAUUUAGGAUUUGUUUAGGGUCUGACUAGGAUUUGAUUAGGAUUUGUCUAGGAUUUGAUUAGGACCAUUUAGGAUUUGACUAAGGUUUGACUAAGGUUUGACUAGGAUUAGAUUAAGAUUUGAUUAGAUUUUGACUAUGAUUUAAUUAAGGUUUUUAUUUUAAUAUAUAUAUAUAUAUAUAUAUUUAAAAAAAUUUCUAUAUUAUUUCUUUAUGAUUUUUUUAAAGGAGCUUCAAGAAUUCUUUGUGUUUCUUGUAUAAUUCUUUUGAAAUUUUAAUUGAAUUUGAUUGAUAUUUGAUGAUAUUUUCUAAUCUUUAAUUAUAAUUUGUUUAAGAAAUUAUUAGAGUUCUUAGAACUUGUUACAAUUUUUUUUUUUUUAUCUUCCACAACCAAAUGUCUAGUAUAUUCUUAAGUCAAACUUCACUUAAUACGACAUUGUAGUAUAAGAAAUU